rnacentral:rRNA from 1 species
UACGUAGGGUGCGAGCGUUGUCCGGAAUUAUUGGGCGUAAAGAGCUUGUAGGCGGUUUGUCGCGUCUGCUGUGAAAGCCCGGGGCUUAACCCCGGGUUUGCAGUGGGUACGGGCAGACUAGAGUGCAGUAGGGGAGACUGGAAUUCCUGGUGUAGCGGUGAAAUGCGCAGAUAUCAGGAGGAACACCAAUGGCGAAGGCAGGUCUCUGGGCUGUAACUGACGCUGAGAAGCGAAAGCAUGGGGAGCAAACAGG